UCUUUUAUGAUGCAGGUCCUAAGAAUAACUCUCUAAAUUUAUAUCUUCAGAUAGUUUUCCAUAGCAAUAGAGUGCUUGGUUCUUGAGCUCGGAAGAUGGAUAUUGGGUUUUUCUAUGGCCAUUGCAGACUACAUAGUUAAUGUCACCAUUAUUAAUGGCGUACUUGAAUGCUAAAAUGCUGUUAGAGAAGGAGCUUCCCUUAACAUCAGAAAUUGUGUGGUGUGAAUGGUAGGACACUUUGAUUUGAUAGAAUAAUAAAUAUUACAAAGGAUAAUCCCUUUUGUACUACACUAACUAAAUGUAUUAAUGCUUGUCGUGCUACAUGUACAAUGUGGAUUGCUGAGGAGCUUUUACAGCGAUAACAAAGGGAAUUUUGGUGUCCUGCUCUGCUAGAAAUACUGGACCCGACUCUAGCAGCUUGUCAAAUGUUGCUCCAUGGAUAACCACUGUGGGUGCUGGUGAAAUCGAUCGUGAUUCCCCAACCUAUGUUAUCCUAGGAGAUGGCAGGAAUGUUACCGGUGCAUCACUUUCCAGUGUUUUCUGAAGAAAGUUAUUCAUCGGAAAAUGUGGAUGAGGU